UAGAUAUUCAUCUGUGCACAGUUAGACAAACUGUCUAUAAAUGGAGAUGAUUUAGUACUAUAGGUACUCUCACUAGAAGUGGCCGUUAGAUAUUCAUCUGUCCACAGUUAGACAAACUGUCUAUAAAUGGAGAUGAUUUAGUACUAUAGGUACUCUCACUAGAAGUGGCCGUUAGAUAUUCAUCUGUCCACAGUUAGACAAACUGUCUAUAAAUGGAGAUGAUUUAGUACUAUAGGUACUCUCACUAGAAGUGGCCGUUAGAUAUUCAUCUGUCCACAGUUAGACAAACUGUCUAUAAAUGGAGAUGAUUUAGUACUAUAGGUACUCUCACUAGAAGUGGCCGUUAGAUAUUCAUCUGUCCACAGUUAGACAAACUGUCUAUAAAUGGAG